CAUGUAUUUGGAAUGGUCUACCCUUCUGUAGCAUCAGUAAGCUUUUUGAGGUGAUUUUCCAUCCUUGGAAGUUCACCUUCUCUAAUCUCUUUCAGCCCCCAGAGCUGUAUGCCGUCAUUCUGGACCCCUUUUUGGAUUUUUGAUUGUAGGUGAAUUUAUUGCCAUAACCCUGCAUUAGAACCUCCUAUGUCUUACAGAUUUACAUCCUCAUCGAUUUAGACUUCCGUGUAGGUGACAUCCUCUUCACCAGCGUAAGCCGAAUCACAGGCCCUCACCACACACUUGUGCCUCAUCAUCUCUUUCACCCUCCCCCACCACCCCGCUUUGCCUCUGGGCACCCCCAAUCAAAUGUCCAGCGCCACCUGUUGGGCGGCUUCCAAGUCUUGGAGAGCGGGAGCAAGGCUGUGGUGAACUCAGCGGUGCACAUGUCUUUAGGCGGUUGUGUUUCCGAGUUCUUUGGCUAAACACGCCCCCGAGGAAUAGCUGGAUCCUAUGGGACAUGGAUUCUUAAAUUUCUGAGGCAGUUCUACACCCCCUCGGACGCCUGCCCCAGAAUGACUGAAGCAGUGGUGAGGAGGCUCACCCCCAGGAUUCCACCCGGCCCACCCCGGGCCACCGACC
rnacentral:lncRNA from 1 species